GCGGGUAAACAGACAUGGCCGGCGAAGGAGAUCAGCAGGACGCUGCGCACAACAUGGGCAACCACCUGCCGCUCCUGCCUGCAGAGAGUGAGGAAGAAGAUGAAAUGGAAGUUGAAGACCAGGAUAGUAAAGAAGCCAAAAAACCAAACAUCAUAAAUUUUGACACCAGUCUGCCGACAUCACAUACAUACCUAGGCGCUGAUAUGGAAGAAUUUCAUGGCAGGACUUUGCACGAUGACGACAGCUGUCAGGUGAUUCCAGUUCUGCCACAGGUGAUGAUGAUCCUGAUUCCCGGACAGACAUUACCUCUUCAGCUUUUUCACCCUCAAGAAGUCAGUAUGGUGCGGAAUUUAAUUCAGAAAGAUAGAACCUUUGCUGUUCUUGCAUACAGCAAUGUACAGGAAAGGGAAGCACAGUUUGGAACAACAGCAGAGAUAUAUGCCUAUCGAGAAGAACAGGAUUUUGGAAUUGAGAUAGUGAAAGUGAAAGCAAUUGGAAGACAAAGGUUCAAAGUCCUUGAGCUAAGAACACAGUCGGAUGGGUAUAGCCCAGUGGUUUCCAACCUUGCUAUGCAUCAGAAUCACCUGGGAAGCUUUUAAAACUAUAGAAGCUUGAGUUCCAACCUCAUCUCCCAUCUCCAGAGAGUGAUGAGGCUGCAGCAUCUUUUAAAAAUGAUUUUCAGGUGAUUCUAAUGUCUCUCCAGGUUUGAGAACAGUCAUGUAAAUCCAAAGGGAAGUGUUGUUUGGGAUUUGGCUUCUUUAGGAUUGAAGGCCUCUCGGAGCAUAAGAGGAUAGGGAGACCAGAGGCUUGUGAGCUGUUCGUGUGCUUACCAGGACAGCUGUGGUUUUUGUAGCAUUGCUAUGAUGUUUAAAAGCCACACUGGUUACAUCUGCCAACUGCUCCAGCUGAGCUAUAAAAGCCAUUUAUAUUUCGUGUCCCUCUCCAGUGUGAAUUUUAUAUCACCCAGAAAUGCUAUUUACAUAAUAAGUGAUCAAUAAAUACUUGUAGUCUG
rnacentral:sRNA from 1 species